CAGAGAUGUGGAUGGAUCAUGAGCAAGAAACAAACCUUGUUGUCAAGCAUGUGGCUACCUGCAGAAGAAGCUGACAUCCUGCGCUUCCAUACACACUCCUGCACAGAACUUGAAGGUGAACGAGGAGACUCAGCUGGGAGGAGGUUCUCCUUUGCCCAUUAUUCUUCCUGGCCACAUCUGAAGUGGAUAUUGUCUGUUUAUAGGCACAGCUGUUUAAAGAAACCAGAUGGUCUGGAUGCCACAAGUAGCCCCCUUGAGACCCGCUGCUGAAUAACUGAGGAAGUUCAGACCCACAUGAAACUGGUGCAGACCAGAGCAGGCAGUGCGUGUAGAAACAUGUUCCUGUACUAUGCCUGUGUUUGCAACUCUAUCCAGUACCUGCCUACAUACUUCCCCAGGCUUGCGCCCAACUCUCUAAAACUCCCAUGCCUCCAGGAAGAUGGUGCCUUUGGAACAUGAGAUCCCCUUCUCCAUUCUUUGGCCA
rnacentral:lncRNA from 1 species